ensembl:lncRNA
AGAAAUUGUUGCAGUCAUACAUUUUCUAACAUGAGGAAUAGCAUCAAAAAAAGUUUGUAAAGCUUUAUGGUUAUGGUGGAAGUGGUUGUAAAUGCUGGCAAAGCCACUUUACUUUGCGCUUUUAUUUUGAAGAGUACCUUAGCACUUCCUCUUUCAUUGUGUCAGACUUCCUGUUCUGUUCUCAGUGAAACGACACAAACACGUUGCUUCAGAGUGAGUAAAAACGUUUAUUUUUUGCAAAACUAUGUUUUCUAUUUGCCUGUCACAUGCUAUAACUUUGAAAGUUUACUCAGUGUGGUGACUUCGUUUUUUAUUGUGUAUGCAUGUCAUUUGUUUGUGGUGUGGAAAGACUGGCUAAGAGAUGCACAUGGAGGAGGUUGGCUAGCUGGUUCAGCAUGAUUAGCACCCUUGGAAGCAGAAAGAGGUGAAGCGGCGCUGUAUUGAAAUAUGGAUCUAAGAAAAAACAAGAACAACCAUACACUCAACGCACUUGAAAGACCGCGUGACAGAGAGAAAUUUUCUUUUCCAAGAAAGCCCUCACCCAGGAAAUUAUUCAGAAACACUGUAGGCGUUUUUACAGCCUAUAGCUUUGCACAUCUAUGAUUUGAAUCUCUCGUUCCACCACAUUCCAAAGGUGCAGUUUUGGAUUGAUAACCGUGGCCCUUUGCACACAUUGAACUCUUCGUGAAAUCACUUUGACAUGAUUUAAAACUUUUUAACAUGGUGUGUUAUCCUGCUGAAGCAGCCAUCAGACGUUGUGUACACUAAGGCCAUAAUGGGAUUGAAAGGGUCAGUUUAGGUAGGCUGUGGCAAAUUAUGUUCAGUUGUUACUAGCAUGCUAAAGUGUGCCAAAAAAUAUUUCCCACAUCAUUACGCCAGCCACCUGAACCAGCC